rnacentral:lncRNA from 1 species
UCCAGCAAGAUAUCCUCCCAGCCGCAUCUCAGCCGGAUUCCCAAGCUUCUCAGAUCACAUCUCCCAGUUCUCAUCUCCACGGAUAAGCUCUCAACAACGUCCAAGCUUAUCCCCUGUUCCCAAUGUUCAUUUCCUCCCAACUUCCGAAUCCAAAAUCCAUCCCAUCCGUGUUUGUUCCCAGCAUCUUCCUUCUCCCUCGGAAUCACAUCCACGUUGAUCAUCUUCCAAUUCUUUGAGGAUGAUAGUGUUAUUUUGAUGAUUAACACAACCAUUGAGGGAAUAUCUAAUUAAAUACUACAAGUUAACAUGAUACAUCAUUACUGAGUUCGUCAC